ACGGUGACCGCCCCACUUGCCCCACCUAGUCCACCAGCUCCACCUGCUCAGUGAGAGGAGGUGCACCAUGGCUUGCCACAAGGUCACAACUGGUCCCUGGAGAGCCGCUGGUGGUGACGGGCUGCCUGUGCCUUCUCUGCGGCAAAACUCCAUACAUACUCCACUCACCAAGUUCCAGAGGGAGAGGAUCACCGGCCGUACUAAAGGAAGUGGCUCUAUGUAGGGAUGGAACAUGGCAACUGCACCA